rnacentral:tRNA from 1 species
AGUGUCACGCCGGCAGAACGGACUACUUUGAUGAAAUAGAUUGAGGGCUCAAUCGCCCUGACACCUCAC